rfam:Pongo abelii chromosome 14, whole genome shotgun sequence.
GGUAGUGUGGCCGAGCGGUCUAAGGCGCUGGAUUUAGGCUCCAGUCUCUUCGGGGGCGUGGGUUCGAAUCCCACCACUGCCA